rnacentral:rRNA from 1 species
AUUGAACGCUGGCGGCAGGCUUAACACGUGCAAGUCGAACGAGGGGCGGACGGGUGAGUAAUGCUUGGGAAUCUAGCUUAUGGAGGGGGAUAACUACGGGAAACUGUAGCUAAUACCGCGUACCAUAGGAUGAGCCCAAGUGGGAUUAGGUAGUUGGGGAGGUAAAGGCUCACCAAGCCGACGAUCUCUAGCUGGUCUGAGAGGAUGACCGUCCACACUGGGAGUGGGACGCGGCCCAGACUCCUACGGGAGGGAGCAGUGGGUAAUAUUGCGCACUGGGGGUAACCUGUCGCAGCCCUGCCGCGUGAAUGAAGAAGGCCUUCGGGUUGUAAAGUUCUUUCGGUGGCGAGGCGUUGACUACAGAAGACGCACCGGCUAACUCCGUGCCAGCAGCGCGGUAAUUC